GGAUGUGAGGAUGAUCUAGCUGUGACAUCUGUCACUUCUUUGAUCGCCAGGGUUGAUUCGGCUGAUCUGGCUGGCUGGAUGGGGGUCCCCUUCCUCCCUCACCACUUUAUGUGUGUCCCUCCAGAGCUGCAUGCUCAGUCAAAGAGGAUGACCACCUCCAAUAGAGGAGGACUGGUUUUAGGUCAAGGGUAUAUGAGUAGCUGCACUCCCCUGCUAGAACCUCCAAACAAGCUCUCAGUAAGAUGUAUUCUAUAUUCUCAUAUUCAAUAAGUUUAUAUGGAUUAAUUUAUCUGUAAAAUUUUAAUUGUUGU
ensembl:misc_RNA 7SK 7SK RNA